UACGGAGGGGGCAAGCGUUAUUCGGAAUUACGGGGCGUAAAGCGUGCGCAGGCGGUUUUGUAAGCCAGAUGUGAAAGCCCCGGGCUUAACCUGGGAAUGGCAUUUGGGACUGCAAGGCUUGAGUGCGGCAGAGGAGACUGGAAUUCCUGGUGUAGCAGUGAAAUGCGUAGAUAUCAGGAGGAAUACCGAUGGCGAAGGCAGGUCUCUGGGCUGACACUGACGCUCAUGCACGAAAGCGUGGGGAGCAAACAGG
rnacentral:rRNA from 1 species